UGAGUAACACGUAAGUCAUCUGCCCCUUGGUCUGGCAUAACGUCGGGAAACCGGCGCUAAUACCAGAUGAUACUGAGAAGUCAAGGGUUUCGACUGCCGAGGGAUGAGCUUGCGUCUGAUUAGCUAGUUGGCGGGGUAACGGCCUACCAAGGCGACGAUCGGUAGCUGGUCUUAGAGGAUGAUCAGCCAGACUGGGACUGAGACACGGCCCAG
rnacentral:rRNA from 1 species